rnacentral:rRNA from 1 species
AGUGAACGCUGGCGGCGUGCUUAACACAUGCAAGUCGAACGAGAACGGAAUAUAGCUUGCUAUAUUUGUCAGCUAAGUGGCGCACGGGUGAGUAAUGUAUAGAUAACCUGCCCUUAAGAAAGGAAUAACAGUUGGAAACGACUGCUAAUGCCCUAUAUGCCUUUAAUACAUAAGUAUGCAAGGGAAACGCUUUAGUGCUUAAGGAUGGGUCUGUAUGGCAUCAGCUUGUUGGUGAGGUAAUGGCUCACCAAGGCUAUGACGCCUAACUGGUUUGAGAGGAUGAUCAGUCACACUGGAACUGAGACACGGUCCAGAGUCCUACGGGAGGCAGCGGUGGGGAAUAUUGCACAAUGGAGGAAAGGCUGAUGCAGCAACGCCGCGUGGAGGGUGACACAUUUCGGUGCGUAAACUCCUUUUAUAUAGGAAGAUAAUGACGGUACUAUAUGAAUAAGCACCGGCUAACUCCGUGCCAGCCGCCGCAGUAA